rnacentral:rRNA from 1 species
GAUGAACGCUGGCGGCGUGCUUAACACAUGCAAGUCGAACGGAAAGGCCCAAGCUUGCUUGGGUACUCGAGUGGCGAACGGGUGAGUAACACGUGGGUGAUCUGCCCUGCACUUCGGGAUAAGCCUGGGAAACUGGGUCUAAUACCGGAUAGGACCACUUCUUGGAUGUUGUGGUGGAAAGUUUUUUCGGUGUGAGAUGAGCUCGCGGCCUAUCAGCUUGUUGGUGGGGUAAUGGCCUACCAAGGCGUCGACGGGUAGCCGGCCUGAGAGGGUGUACGGCCACAUUGGGACUGAGAUACGGCCCAGACGCCUACGGGAGGCAGCAGUGGGGAAUAUUGCACAAUGGGCGCAAGCCUGAUGCAGCGACGCCGCGUGGGGGAUGACGGCCUUAGGGUUGUAAACUCCUUUCGCUAGGGACGAAGCGUUUUGUGACGGUACCUGGAGAAGAAGCACCGGCUAACUACGUG